rnacentral:rRNA from 1 species
AUGCAAUGCUUUAAUGACUGGAUUGCCGACCUCGAGCUCCGGGAAUUAGAUAGGGUCGGAGCCCGAUUCACCUGGACUAAUAAACAGGUGAACCCGACCCAGAGUGUCCUGGACCGGGUAUUUAUAUCCCCUGAAUGGGAACUUCGGUUCCCCUUAGCUACUCUCCAGGCCAUCACGCAGAUUGGAUCUGACCAUGUACCCCUCUUACUUUCAUCCAUGGAUGAGCGGCCCGGACCUCCUCCCCGCUUUUGGUUUGAGGCGUUCUGGCUUCGCCAUCCGAGAUUCAUUGCGGCCGUUCGAGACCAUUGGAUUGCGGCCCGUGCUGAACCUCACCGGACCAUGUCAGUCAUGGACGAUUGGCACCACUUGAACAAACGCUCCAGGCAAUUUAUGAAGGGCUAGGGCGCAAAUAUUGGGCGGGACCUGCGGGUCCAGUAGCAGACUGUACUCAUGGAGAUCCGGGCACUUGACAUACGCGCUGACGGCCCAAGUCUGUCUUCUGAGGAAUGGUCUCUUCGGUAUAGCCUGGAAGAUACCCUUACUAACAUCUAUGCCAAAGAAGAAGAAUACUGGCGCCAGCGCGGCUCUUUUAAUUGGAUCCUCUUUGGCGAUGCCAACACGGCUUAUUUUCAGGCCAUUGCCAAUGGCCGGAAGCGACGAUGCACCAUCCCCAUCCUUUGGGAUGGGGAGCGGUUGUUACAGGACCCGGACGAGAUCCGGGCUCAUGUUGAUGGGUUCUAUAUAACCCUGUUUUCCGCUCGUCCUCGAGCGGGCCUUGCUCUAGCUGAGAACUUUUGGGACGAGCAUCUCCGCGUCUCUCCUGAAGAGAACCAAUCUCUUCUUAACCCCUUUGAAGAAUCGGAGGUGGAGGCCAUCGUCAAGUCCAUGAACCCGGCCUCUGCCCCAGGUUCGGACGGCCUCCCGGUCUGGUUUUUUCAAGUUUUCUGGCCCACCGUCAAGGGCAGAUUAUGUCGUUAUCCCGGGAAUUUUCGAGGGGGGCCCUUGAUGUAUCCCGCCUUAACUAUGGGAUCAUAUCUCUGA